rnacentral:misc_RNA from 1 species
AACGCACAUUGCGCCCGCCAGUAUUCUGGCGGGCAUGCCUGUUCGAGCGUCAUUUCAACCCUCAAACCCCCCGGGUUUGGUGUUGGGGAUCGGCCGCACACUGCGGCGGCCGGCCCUGAAAUACAGUGGCGGUCUCGCUGUUGCCUCUCCUGCGUAGUAGCACAUCUCGCAUUGGAGCGCAGCGCGGCCACGCCGUAAAACCCCCCAAUUUCUGAAUGUUGACCUCGGAUCAGGUAGGAAUACCCGCUGAACUUAA